UACGUAGGGGGGCAAGCGUUGUCCGGAAUCAUUGGGCGUAAAGAGCGUGUAGGCGGCUUGGUAGGUCUGCUGUGAAAACUCGGGGCUCAACCCCGAGACGUCGGUGGAAACCACCUGGCUAGAGUCCGGAAGAGGAGAGUGGAAUUCCUGGUGUAGCGGUGAAAUGCGCAGAUAUCAGGAGGAACACCAAUGGCGAAGGCAGCUCGCUGGGACGGUACUGACGCUGAGACGCGAAAGCGUGGGGAGCAAACAGG
rnacentral:rRNA from 1 species